UACGUAGGGUGCGAGCGUUGUCCGGAAUUAUUGGGCGUAAAGGGCUCGUAGGCGGUUUGUCGCGUCGGGAGUGAAAACACUGGGCUUAACUCAGUGCUUGCUUCCGAUACGGGCAGACUAGAGGUGAUGCAGGGGAGAACGGAAUUCCUGGUGUAGCGGUGAAAUGCGCAGAUAUCAGGAGGAACACCGGUGGCGAAGGCGGUCUCUGGGCAUUACCUGACGCUGAGGAGCGAAAGUGUGGGGAGCGAACAGG
rnacentral:rRNA from 1 species